UAGCAGUCUUUCCCAGGGUAUCCUGUUACUGUGAUCAGCCAGAAGAGGACUGGCCAUUUCAUGAGUAAAAGUGGGUUACAAGACUUGAAUCCCAGAUUUGGUCCUAGCUGACAGAGAGAGAGUCAGGCACCUCAUGCUCCGACAGCUUCAUGUACAUAAAGAGUUGAUGUUUGAUGUGA